rnacentral:rRNA from 1 species
AUUGACUUUUCGCAAAUUUAUAGAUCUGUCCAAAAUUUGUUUUAUCACUUUCCACCUCAAAUCAAGUAGGACUACCCGCUGAACUUAAGCAUAUCAAUAAGCGGAGGAAAAGAAACCAACAGGGAUUGCCUUAGUAGCGGCGAGUGAAGCGGCAAAAGCUCAAAUUUGAAAUCUGGUACUUUCAGUAUCCGAGUUGUAAUUUGUAGAAGCAACUUUGGUGAUGGUCUUUGCAUAAGUUCCUUGGAAUAGGACGUCAUAGAGGGUGAGAAUCCCGUUUAUGGUGAAGAACCCACACUAUGUAAAGUGCUUUCGAAGAGUCGAGUUGUUUGGGAAUGCAGCUCAAAGUGGGUGGUAAAUUCCAUCUAAAGCUAAAUAUUGGCGAGAGACCGAUAGCGAACAAGUACUGUGAAGGAAAGAUGAAAAGAACUUUGAAAAGAGAGUGAAAAAGUACGUGAAAUUGUUGAAAGGGAAGGGAUCUAAAUCAGACAUGGUAUUUUGUGAUCAACAGUCUUUCGGGACUGUGCACUCGCAUUUUACUAGGCCAGCAUCGGUUAGAAGGGGGUAAAAAAGAUUUUGGAAUGUGGCUCCUCGGAGUGUUAUAGCCAAGGUUAAUUGCCCCAUUUCUGACCGAGGACCGCGUCUUUUGACUAGGAUGCUGGCGUAAUGGUUUUGAUCCACCCGUCUUGAAACACGGACCAAGGAGUCUAACGUCUAUGCGAGUGUUUGGGUGUAAAACCCGUACGCGUAAUGAAAGUGAACGUAGGUGAGAGCCUUUUUAAGGUGCAUCAUCGACCGAUCCUGAUGUUUUCAGAUGGAUUUGAGUAAGAGCAUAGCUGUUGGGACCCGAAAGAUGGUGAACUAUGCCUGAAUAGGGUGAAGCCAGAGGAAACUCUGGUGGAGGCUCGUAGCGGUUCUGACGUGCAAAUCGAUCGUCAAAUUUGGGUAUAGGGGCGAAAGACUAAU